rnacentral:rRNA from 2 species
UUUAACUGAAGAGUUUGAUCAUGGCUCAGAUUGAACGCUGGCGGCAGGCUUAACACAUGCAAGUCG